GAUGAACGCUGGCGGCGUGCCUAAUACAUGCAAGUCGAGCGAACAGAUAAGGAGCUUGCUCCUUUGACGUUAGCGGCGGACGGGUGAGUAACACGUGGGUAACCUAUCUAUAAGACUGGAAUAACUCCGGGAAACCGGGGCUAAUGCCGGAUAACAUGUUGAACCGCAUGGUUCUACAGUGAAAGGCGGCUUUGCUGUCACUUAUAGAUGGACCCGCGCCGUAUUGGCUAGUUGGUGAGGUAACGGCUCACCAAGGCAACGAUACGUAGCCGACCUGAGAGGGUGAUCGGCCACACUGGAACUGAGACACGGUCCAGACUCCUACGGGAGGCAGCAGUAGGGAAUCUUCCGCAAUGGGCGAAAGCCUGACGGAGCAACGCCGCGUGAGUGAUGAAGGUCUUCGGAUCGUAAAACUCUGUUAUUAGGGAAGAACAAAUGCGUAAGUAACUGUGCGCGUCUUGACGGUACCUAAUCAGAAAGCCACGGCUAACUACGUG
rnacentral:rRNA from 1 species